UUUAAAGUGCACUAACAGAUGCAUUAUGAGGUGCAACAUCAUCACGCAAAACUGCGGCUUAACUGAAACAGAUACUAUUUGUAAACAAUUAUAAAUAUUUCAAUGAUUUAAUGAGUAAUCUGGCUAGAUGCAGUAUAAAAACCUAAAUAAUCCUAGGCAUUCUUUAGACUUUGCUUGUAAAAAUAACAGCGUGCUAUAACUGAAGUAUAACCUCGUUCAAGGACAUCUUGGUUUUAUUUUCUGUGCCAAAAUAUUCUUUGAUUAAUCUUGUGCAUAGAAGCGGACUGCUUGGUUCUGGUAUUAAUUAUACUCUUUGGAUUAUUUUCUUCUUUGAAAAUUAAGGAGAUGAAGCUGUGUGUUCUAGCAACCUUGCUGACUAUUCUGCUGAUCAGUCUGGAUUAUUCAGACGCACGGCGCGGUCCCCGUCUGUGUAAGAAAGACAACUAUGGAGUUUGUGUCGACAACGAUUUCAGCGGAUUCAGGGGAAGGAAUGGCUUCCGCGGAAGAUUUAGACCGUGUUCUGAAGCGAGGUCAGGACAUUUCUGCCAAAAUGUCGGCAGGGGGUGCCGUUGCAAAUUACCGAGGGGAAACAUAUUUGCUUCGAUAGGGCAGACCGGAUGAAGAGGAAAAUAUGAUAAGACAAAGCGUAAAUUGACCGCAGUGUUGUGCGUUGCUUGAUUUGUAAAUUGUAUUAUAUUUUAUAGUUAAACUAUACAUAAGUAACUGUAGAUGCUAACGAAACUGCACGGAGCUUAUCACAGUGACAACAAACGGAAUACACUUUCAAACUUUAUGGAGUUUAAAUUUUUAUAGUUCUUGACAAGAAUAGUAUUAGCAUUAGCACAUGUAUCAAUUAUAUGUAUAUAGUGAUGAUAUUUGGGAGAGUUAAAAUGCGAUCGUGCAAAAUGGCAUUCAUGGGUCAAAGUAAUUUUUAAUAUUUAAGUUGGACAUUAAACCAGUGGUCUUUGAAGGCGAUGAUCUCUGUUCACAGGUGACAUUUAGCACAGAUUUUAGAAUAGUCAGUUACCACAUUAAAUUACGUGAAAUUUAUUUUCUUUUGCCCAAUAAACGCAACUUCUUUGUUGUGUUAGAUUCAAUGUUGUUUUCAGUUGUACAAUUUGUAUCCCAGGAGUCAUUAUUUAUCAGGCCGAUAUAGGACCGAUUUCAGCAUCAGUCCGAUAGCGCAAUGUUUUCUGGUACAAUACUAGUGAUCAGCUAAUCUCAUGAUGACCAUGCAUCUCUCACAGUAUAUAAUUAAUGUGUUCCCAACAGUAACUUUUGGGCUAACAGUGUUUUUGAUUACAAUAUACGAUCUUCAAUUCAAAUAACCAGUGUUCCUGUAUUUUACAGUAACUAGUUCUUCUUAAAUAACUGACCGCGAUGUGUUCCUUUCAUGGGCAGAGUGCGUUCCUGACAGUUAUAUCGUAACUUUCCUUACAUACUGUAUUCAGUUGUUAUGUUAUUGUUUUUUUCAUUUCAUAAUGGAGAACAAUUAACCUUAUAAGCUGACUAUUAAGGAACUAAUUCAUACUCUAUGAAUAAAUAAUUUUAGUCAAUAAGAUAAUAUCUCGUCGACUAUCCCUACUAUAAGCUCAGUCCAGAAAUUCAUGUCUAUGUUCUUUUGUUGUAUUAUUUAUUUCUUACGGCAGAAACAAUACAAAGACAAAGUUAUGUUUCCCUGUAAAGAACAAAUUUUACAUAUGUGCGGUAUUAAUGGCUUCAUGCUCUGCACACAUAUUAACAUUUUAGCACUGGGCUAAUAUUUUAGUUCCUUGAUCCAAACAAAUAAAUAAAUAACAAAGCGGUCGUUUUAUAAACAUAACUUGAUAUUCGACAUUAACUUUUUAAUAAUCAUUUUCUACUGUAACUUGAUAGUCAGACAUUAUGCAAAAUAAACUACAUAAAUUAUAUCUGAUCUCGUGUAUACAUAAUUUACUCGGAUAUCUAGAGAGUUAGAUAUCAAUUCAUCAGAAGUUUAACCCAAAACGGAAAACUCCAUUGAAGUCGUUCUUACGAUAAAUUCAAAAAAGAGCAUUUGCCAGUCCUGGAGAUGUAGCUUGUGAACGGUAUUGUCAUAUACUGAAAGAAAGAACAAGAGACCGAUUAUCAAUAGAAAACAUUGUUGCAGAAAAUGCGGCUCAAACUGACUGUCACACACGUUGAACUGAAUCUUACCUUACAAUUUAGAUAAACUAAAAUACAAGUAGAAAUUGAAGCUAUGUAUAAACAAGAGAGUCAUGAUGACCCUGAAUCGCUCACUUGAGUGAUAUGAGCCACAUGUUUCAAACGGCAAACUAAUGCUAUAAUAUUAAGAAAGUAGGUCAGUAGGUCACAUUCAUGGUCACUGAAAGUCAGUUUUAAGAGCGGUGUGCAAAACUGUACAUGUCCUCCAAAUUUCAAGGCUGGAUCUUAAGAAAGACAAGAAAGUAGGUCAGUAGGUCAAGGUCACAGUCAAGUGACCCCUAAUCACUUGGGGUCAUCAGGUAAUUAUAAUUAAACAGUCUAGGAAAUAUGAUCUGAUAAUUUUUGAGUAUUUUUCCUAUAUAACUCAUAUAACAAGUGACCCCGGGGCUGGGCCUCUUUUCACACCAGGGGCAUAGUUUGAACAAUCUUGUUAGAGAUCUACUAGGCAAUGCUACAUACCAAGUAUCAAAAGCCUAGGCCUCGAACUUUCAGACAAGAAGAUUUUUUUCUAUAUAAGUCUAUGUUAAACUUUGGACCGCCAGGGCAGGGCCUCUUUUCACCCCAGGGGUAUAGUUUGAAUAAUCUUAGUAGUGGAACACUAGGCAAGGCAACAUUACGACUAUCAGAAGCAUACGCCUUGCAGUUUCAGGUAAGAAGAUUUUUAAAGUUUUUCCCCCUAUAUAUUGAAUCUAAAACUUGAGACCCCCCCCCCCCCCCCCCCCCCCCCCCCGGCUCGGGUCAGGGCCUCUUUUUUCAUCCCAGAGGCAUAAUUUGGUAGCGGACCACAAGGCAAUGCAACGUACCAAAUAUCAAAAGCAUAGGCCUCGCAGUUUCAGACAAGAAGAUUUUUAAAGUUUUUUUCCUAUAUAAGUCUAUGUAAAACUUGUGACCCCCGAGGCGGAGGCGGGGGCUCUGUUCAUCCCAGGGUAAUAAUUUGAACAAUCUUGGUAAAGGCCCAGGAGGCAAUGCUACAUACCAAAUAUCAAAGGCCUAGGUCUUGUGGUUUCAGACAAGAAGAGUGUCAAAGUUUUUCCUAUAUAAGACUAUGUAAAACUUGUGACCCCCGAGGCGGAGGCGGGGACUCUUUCCACCCCAGAUGCAAAAUUUGAACAAUCUUCAUAGAGGACCAUUAGACAAUGCCAAAUACUAAAUAUCUAAGCUCUAGUUCUUCAGGUUUCAGAGAAGAAGAUUUUUGAAAUUUACAAUACAACCAUAUAGGGAAAAUAAGCCCCGCCCCCUUGCAGCCAUGUUUUUUUACCAAAAAUAGAACGGCUUAAGCAAUUUUGGUAUAGGGUCACCUAGAGAUCAUUUCUACAAAGUAUUUUUGAAAUCCGGCUAACAGUUUCUGACAAGAAGAUUUUUUAUAGAACCACAGUUCUAAAUGGAUUUUAAUUCUUUGGGCAUUUUUGAUAGGGAGCCACCCCAGGAUCAUUUCUGUGAAGUUUAGUGUAAAUCUGCCCAGUGGUUUUGAAGCAGAAGAUUUUUGAAAUUGACAAAAUAGCCACAUAGGGAAAAUAAGCCCCGUCCCCUGACGGCCAUGUUUUUUUUACCGAAACAGAACGGCUUAGGCAAUUUUGGUAGAGGGUCACCUAGAGAUCAUUUCAACAAAAUAUUUUUCAAAUCUGGCUAACAGUUUCUGACAAGAAGAUUUUAAAAGAUUUUCCUUUCGGUUGGCAUGGCAACGAAAGUUCUGCAUGGAUUUCAAUUCUUUUAGCAAUUUUGAAAGGGGGGCACCUAAGGAUCAUUCCUGUGAAGUUUGGUGUAAAUCUGCCCCGUGGUUUUGAAGAAGAGUUUUUUAAAAAUUGUUGACACACGACGCACGAUGCACGACGCACGACGGACGACUGACAUCGAGCGGUCACAAAAGCUCACCUUGAGCCUUUGGCUCAGGUGAGCUAAAAGUCGCCAAAAUUUACAAAUAAAAUACCUUUUUAUAAGACAUAUAAUUUAUAUUUUUUCUUCAAAACAAUGAAACGUUUAGAAAGUUAUAAACAUACUUUUGUAAUGAUUAGCCAGCAAUACACGCAAAAAUCAGAAAGUCAGAUACAACUGAAGUUUUUGUGAUGUUUAUCAGUUAAUUGUAUUGUUAAAUAGGUCGAGUAGAAAUGUCAAGUAUCGUUCAAAUAGCUCUAGUUAUUUAUCCGGCUUUGGGGAUAGCGGUGUAAUCAACCACAAGAUAAGUACUAGUAUUGGCUAACUAAAGAGUAAUCACUCGCAAGAGACAAGGAAAUAUUGAAUUAUCGAAUUGUAACACACCGCCCCCCCCCCCCCCCCCCCCCCCCCCCCCCCCCCCCCCCCCCGCGAUUAAAUCUCCCGUCCAACAUGUAGAUAUUGGCUUACCAAUGCAAGGUGUAAUCCCAUCAUGGAAAUUGUAAAUACUGACUUAAUAAAUUGCAAUCAACCCCCAUGAAACAAGUAACUAUUGCGUUAUUGAAAUGUAAGCAGCACUACCCCAAGAAACAGUCGGAAGAUAUUAGCUAUUAGCUUAUUGAAGGGUAAUCACCACCAAGACACAGGCAGACGAUAUUAACUUUUUGAAGUGUAAUCACCGCCAAGAAACAGGCAGAAGAUAUCAGCUUAUUGAAGGGUACCCCCCCCCCCCCCCCACCAAGAAACAGAUGUAUAUAUUGGCGUAUCUAUAUAAGUGUGUUCAACCAAAGAAAAUACAGAGAAACUGUAAUCAAUCCCCAAGAAACAAUUAAAUACACAUUUUUUUGUGUAAUUACUCUUUAGAUACACCUAUUUACUGCUUUAUCAUAGUGUAUUCGUCCCAACGAAACACGUAAAUAAGAUCUUAGUGAAAUACGAAACACAACGUCACACGUACCUUAUCUAAGUGUAAACACUUAAAAGAAAUUUUACCAAACAUACUAACAGGCACGUAUACUACCAUAUCAACGUGAAAUAGUAAUUACACGUGACUUAUUAAAAUCACUUAUAUAUUGUCAUUUUUCUAACUUGUAAACAUUAUUAUCAAAGCAUAGUGUGGUAUUGGAGAAAUGUCAAACAUUUGCAUAAUUUCAUAUUAAAUCGACAUAGAGACAAGGCAAUCUAUAAUUUUUCUAUGAAUAUUCAUGAAAAUUACGAAGACGGAUAGACAUUAUACAGUUUAGAAACCCAUAAGUGUAGUUCUUGGAUUAUUGUAUAACUUGCUAUUUAGUAUCCAGGAUUAUUCCAUUGUAUAAGACAACCUCGUUUUGAACUGACGCAAUUUUCGUAUUUUGGAGUUAUACUGAAACGGAAAGAGAAGAUGAGACUGGCUGUUCUGGCAAUCUUGUUGGCUGUUCUAUUGAUCAAUCUUGAUCACGCGGACGCUUAUCGGCGUCGCAUAUCGUUGUGCAGGAAAAACAAUGGCGUAUGUGUUGACAAUAACACACGCGGCCAACGAGGUAGAAUCUUUGCGUGUUCAGAAAUCAAAUCUGGCCAUUCUUGCCAACCAGUUGGACACGGAUGUCGAUGCAAGCCAGUUUAUGAUGAUGGCAAUAUAUUUGCAGGCGAGGGGGACUCGGACCUAGUAGACAAUUGAUUUACUACAGUGAUUAAAUAUUUUUAGACAUACAGAGCAGGAUCUUCCUCUAACUACAUUUAAUAGGUUACCAUGGAAAUGAACAGUCAGUGGUGAACAGGGACAUAAGGAAGUGGAAGUUCACAAUGACCUAUUGUGCUUACAUGGUGGUAAUACAGCUUGAAGCAUCCAGCGAAUGAAACAUCUCGCCUGAUUAAAGAUAUUAAGACAAAUGUAAAAUUUGAAUAAUGUAUGAAAUAUUGUUUUAUUCUUAUUCUUUUUUAUUAUUAAAAAUGUUUAUUGGAGAAAAUUAAA